UACGAAGGGGGCUAGCGUUGCUCGGAAUCACUGGGCGUAAAGGGUGCGUAGGCGGGUCUUUAAGUCAGGGUUGAAAUCCUGGAGCUCAACUCCAGAACUGCCUUUGAUACUGAGGAUCUUGAGUUCGGGAGAGGUGAGUGGAACUGCGAGUGUAGAGGUGAAAUGCGUAGAUAUUGGGAGGAACACCGGUGGCGAAGGCGGCCCCCUGGACCGGUACUGACGCUGAGGCGCGAAAGCGUGGGUAGCAAACGGG
rnacentral:rRNA from 1 species